UCUUUAAUAUAAAAUGAACAAAUUAGCUCUGCUUCACACUGAUAAGGAAGAAAAUUAAAGUAUGCAAAAAUAAAUAUGUGUGAAGGUAUGAUAAUAAAUAAAUAUUACACAAAAUUUUACGAUUAUGCCAUGUUUCGCGCCAGAAAAUGUAGAUUGAUAUUCGCAACUACACAAACAGUACAGGCCUGUUCCGCAUCACGCUAACAGCGUCGGCGGCGCUGGUGCAACAGCGCCGCCGCCGCCAUGUCGCCGCUCGCCUGCUUGCUGCUCGCACUCGCCGCGGUGCUCGCCGCCGCUGAUGCUACUGUCACGUCCACACCUAACCUUCUUGGAGGAUUAUGCUCAGGAUUCACAAUGGACAUUCCUCCAAGGAUUAAGCACGUGAGCGGUAGCUUUAACUUUAUGCUGGAGACCGACGGACAUAGUGCUGAAAGAUAUUCCCGAUAACUGCUCAGCGUUCGGCAAGGGAAAUAUUGCAAAGCAGAUAGUUGACGUGUGCAACAAAUACGCCUGUCCGUCGGUCCAAACGUUCCCACCGACAGAAGUGCAGGCCCUCGGCGACACCGUGCUGUCACCCGCGUACGCUUCCCGUGAGAAAGACUCCCGAGUGUGGACCUCUCUCGUGGAAUAUCACCCAGAUGUGCAGAAUGGUCCCCUACGGGCGUUGAAGAGUUGUAAGCGCGCAAAUUAGAGCGGGUUGAAAAUAUGAAAUAAACUGUUUAUAAAAAAUCGA